GCCGGGGUGGCUUAGGCUGGUUAUAGCGCUCGACUCAUAAUCGAGAGGCCGCGGGUUCAAGUCCCGCCCCCGGCA
rnacentral:tRNA from 2 species